GACGAACGCUGGCGGCGUGCUUAACACAUGCAAGUCGAACGGUGACGAGGAGCUUGCUCCUCUGAUCAGUGGCGAACGGGUGAGUAACACGUGAGCAACCUGCCCCAGACUCUGGGAUAACAGUUGGAAACAGCUGCUAAUACCGGAUACGAGACGGAGAGGCAUCUCUACCGUCUGGAAAGUUUUUCGGUCUGGGAUGGACUCGCGGCCUAUCAGCUAGUUGGUGAGGUAAUGGCUCACCAAGGCGACGACGGGUAGCCGGCCUGAGAGGGCGACCGGCCACACUGGGACUGAGACACGGCCCAGACUCCUACGGGAGGCAGCAGUGGGGAAUAUUGCGCAAUGGGCGAAAGCCUGACGCAGCAACGCCGCGUGCGGGAUGAAGGCCUUCGUGGUUGUAAACCGCUUUCAGUAGGGACGAAAUGACGGUACCUGCAGAAGAAGCUCCGGCUAACUACGUG
rnacentral:rRNA from 1 species